GACGAACGCUGGCGGCGUGCCUAAUACAUGCAAGUAGAACGCUGAAGGAGGAGCUUGCUUCUCCGGAUGAGUUGCGAACGGGUGAGUAACGCGUAGGUAACCUGCCUGGUAGCGGGGGAUAACUAUUGGAAACGAUAGCUAAUACCGCAUAACAGUAGAUGUUGCAUGAUAUCUGCUUGAAAGGUGCAAUUGCAUCACUACCAGAUGGACCUGCGUUGUAUUAGCUAGUUGGUGAGGUAACGGCUCACCAAGGCGACGAUACAUAGCCGACCUGAGAGGGUGAUCAGCCACACUGGGACUGAGACACGGCCCAGACUCCUACAGGAGGCAGCAGUAGGGAAUCUUCGGCAAUGGACGGAAGUCUGACCGAGCAACGCCGCGGGAGUGAAGAAGGUUUUCGGAUCGGAAAGCUCUGUUGUAAGAGAAGAACGAGUGUGAGAGUGGAAAGUUCACAGUGUGACGGUAUCUUACCAGAAAGGGACGGCUAACUACGUG
rnacentral:rRNA from 1 species